rnacentral:tRNA from 1 species
GCCCCCAUCGUCUAGCGGCUAGGACGCGGCCCUUUCAAGGCUGCAACGGCGGUUCGAUUCCGCCUGGGGGUACCA